CUCACCUUUUGGAUGUUCUCUCUCUCGCUCAGCAGAGCCGACUGCAUGAUGUCCCAGGUCACACACUGACUCAGUUCCUCUGGAUCCGGAUACUUCUGAAGCAUGUCCGUCAGAGACCUCUGUCACAACAAGAGCACGCGCUGUCACUCACCACGGUGUCCUCCAAGGCGUCCACACGGUGGCAGCACUUCUCCACUGCAGCAGUCUCCACCUGAGCACCGAGGACCUGGACACAGGAGAGAGAGAGAGAGGAAGUACUUUACUGUAACAGCAUCCUGCACUUCAUCCUCUCAGAAUCCAGGUCAGAGAGAGGGGAUCAAAACAACACGCUAAACGUUCAGGUGUAAACGGACACCCGGAGCAAAAGCAUAACAGCAACUGCUGUAAGCAAUAAGAUUAUUGGAGAAGAAACGUGAGAGGAUGUUUGCAAGCACGACGCAAAACCGUCCUGACUGCAGCCGACUCAGGGAAUUAGUUAUUUUAUUCAGUGUCUCUAUUUUCCUGAUAUAUUCAUUAAAUGUUAAAUGAAGAAAACAAGCCUUUUUUUUUCCCCGCGAGGUCUGAAUUAGAGCUCUCAAAUGUAACUUUUGGUUGGUGUUUGACCGAUUAAAGACUCAUUUGAAAAUGACUGAAUUCAUA